rnacentral:lncRNA from 1 species
GGACGAAAAUAGGACUGUAGAGAAAACGAAGAGUCCAAAAGGAUUUAUAUGGUUUUGUGUCAUGGAAGCCCUAAGGUGUCAUAGUGCCCUAAGGUGAUGCUGCAUCUCGAGCUACCAGAAGGCAAGUACAAGUGAAGAUAACGUCGGAGACGUGCCGAGCUCCCCUUUCGUCAUUGCCAAAGGAGAGAACUUUCUGACUGCCGG